CCGAGACCCCAGGUCAGGCGGGACUACCCGCUGAGUUUAA
rnacentral:rRNA from 1 species